rnacentral:tRNA from 1 species
AGGAUGUGAUAGUGGAAGGUGGUCGCCCCAGGCGUUCUUGCUGUCUUUGGGUACCCUCAAGGGUACUCCGUCCUUCACUUCCUG